rnacentral:rRNA from 1 species
GCUCAGAACGAACGCUGGCGGCGUGCCUAACACAUGCAAGUCGAGCGAGAAAGCCCGCAAGGGUGAGUAAAGCGGCGCACGGGUGCGUAACACGUGGGUAAUCUGCCCUAGAGUCCGGAAUAACUCGCCGAAAGGCGUGCUAAUGCCGGAUGAGACCACGGGAGCUUCGGCUCCUGCGGGAAAAGGUGGCCUCUGUAUACAAGCUAUCGCUCUAGGAUGAGCCCGCGGCCCAUCAGCUCGUUGGCGGGGUAAUGGCCCACCAAGGCUACGACGGGUAGCUGGUCUGAGAGGACGAUCAGCCACACUGGAACUGAGACACGGUCCAGACUCCUACGGGAGGCAGCAGUGGGGAAUCUUGCGCAAUGGGCGAAAGCCUGACGCAGCAACGCCGCGUGUGUGAUGAAGGUCUUCGGAUCGUAAAGCACUGUCGCGAGGGACGAAUAAGGGGCGGGCUAACAUCCCGUUCCGAUGACGGUACCUCGAGAGGAAGCACCGGCUAACUCUGUGCCAGCAGCCGCGGUAAUACAGAGGGUGCAAGCGUUGUUCGGAAUUAUUGGGCGUAAAGCGCGUGUAGGCGGCCUUGCAAGUUGGGUGUGAAAGCCCUCGGCUUAACCGAGGAAGUGCGCCCAAAACUACGAGGCUUGAGUGCCGGAGAGGGUGGCGGAAUUCCCGGCGUAGAGGUGAAAUUCGUAGAUAUCGGGAGGAACACCAGUGGCGAAGGCGGCCACCUGGACGGUAACUGACGCUGAGACGCGAAAGCGUGGGGAGCAAACAGGAUUAGAUACCCUGGUAGUCCACGCUGUAAACGAUGAGCGCUAGGUGUUGUGGGUGUUGACCCCCGCAGUGCCGCAGCUAACGCAUUAAGCGCUCCGCCUGGGAAGUACGGCCGCAAGGCUAA